rnacentral:rRNA from 1 species
UACGAAGGGUGCAAACGUUGCUCGGAAUUAUUGGGCGUAAAGCGCACGUAGGCGGCUUUGCAAGUCGGAUGUGAAAUCCCUCGGCUCAACCAAGGAAGUGCAUCCGAAACUGCAGAGCUUGAGUACCAAAGAGGAUCGCGGAAUUCCCGGUGUAGAGGUGAAAUUCGUAGAUAUCGGGAGGAACACCAGUGGCGAAGGCGGCGAUCUGGGUGGAUACUGACGCUGAGGUGCGAAAGCGUGGGGAGCGAACGGG